UACGUAGGGGGCAAGCGUUAUCCGGAUUUACUGGGUGUAAAGGGAGCGUAGACGGCAGCGCAAGUCUGGAGUGAAAUGCCGGGGCCCAACCCCGGAACUGCUCUGGAAACUGUGAAGCUGGAGUGCAGGAGAGGCAAGUGGAAUUCCUGGUGUAGCGGUGAAAUGCGUAGAUAUCAGGAGGAACACCAGUGGCGAAGGCGGCUUGCUGGACGAUGACUGACGUUGAGGCUCGAAAGCGUGGGGAGCAAACAGG
rnacentral:rRNA from 1 species